rnacentral:rRNA from 1 species
GACGAACGCUGGCGGCGUGCUUAACACAUGCAAGUCGAGCGAACGGACGCUACUUUUGCUUCUCUGAUGUUAGCGGCGGACGGGUGAGUAACACGUGGAUAACCCACCUAUAAGACUGGGAUCACUUCGGGAAACCGGAGCUAAUACCGGAUAAUAUUUUGAACCGCAUGGUUCAAAAGUGAAUUACGGUCUUGCUGUCACUUAUAGAUGGAUCCUGGCUGCAUUAGCUAGUUGGUAGGGUAACGGCUUACCAAGGCAACGAUGCAUAGCCGACCUGAGAGAGUGGUCGGCCACACUGGAGCUGAGACACGGUCCAGACUCCUACGGGAGGCAGCAGUAGGGAAUGUUCGGCAGUGGGCGGAAGCCUGACGGAGCAGCGCCGCGUGAGUGAUGAAGGUCUUCGGAUCGUAAAACUCUGUUAUUGGGGAAGAACAUAUGUGUAAGGAACUGUGCACAUCUUGACGGUACCUAGUCAGGAAGCCACGGCUAACUACGUG